CACUGUUUCGGCUAGGGGUCCAUCCCGGAUUACCAACCCGAUGCAAACUACGAAUACCAAAGAGUGAUACUCAGGAGACACACGGCGGGUGCUAACGUUCGUCGUGGAGAGGGAAACAACCCAGACCGCCAGCUAAGGUCCCAAAGUCUAUAUUAAGUGGGAAACGAAGUGGGAAGGCUUAGACAGCUAGGAUGUUGGCUUAGAAGCAGCCAUCAUUUAAAGAAAGCGUAAUAGCUCACUAGUCGAGUCGGCCUGCGCGGAAGAUGUAACGGGGCUGAAAUAUAGCACCGAAGCUGCGGCAUCAGACGAAAGUCUGUUGGGUAGGGGAGCGUUGUGUAAGCGGAUGAAGGUUAAUCGAGAGGUUAGCUGGACGUAUCACAAGUGCGAAUGCUGACAUAAGUAACGAUAAAACGAGUGAAAAACUCGUUCGCCGGAAGACCAAGGGUUCCUGUCCAACGUUAAUCGGGGCAGGGUGAGUCGGCCCCUAAGGCGAGGCUGAAAAGCGUAGUCGAUGGGAAACAGGUUAAUAUUCCUGUACUUGGUAAAGCUGCGAUGUGGGGACGGAGUAGGUUAGGUUAGCGUGCUGUUGGAUAUGCACGUUUAAGUUGGUAGGUGGGAAGUUUAGGCAAAUCCGGACUUCCUUAACACUGAGAGAUGAUGACGAGGCUCUACGGAGCUGAAGUAACUGAUACCACACUUCCAGGAAAAGCCACUAAGCGACAGGUUUUACUAAACCGUACUGAAAACCGACACAGGUGGUCAGGUAGAGAAUACUCAGGCGCUUGAGAGAACUCGGGUGAAGGAACUAGGCAAAAUAGCACCGUAACUUCGGGAGAAGGUGCGCCGGCGUAGAUUGUAAGGGCUAGCCCCUGAAGGUUGAACCGGUCGAAGAUACCAGCUGGCUGCAACUGUUUAUUAAAAACACAGCACUCUGCAAACACGAAAGUGGAGGUAUAGGGUGUGAUGCCUGCCCGGUGCUGGAAGGUUAAUUGAUGGUGUAAUCGAAAGAGAAGCACCUGAUCGAAGCCCCAGUAAACGGCGGCCGUAACUAUAACGGUCCUAAGGUAGCGAAAUUCCUUGUCGGGUAAGUUCCGACCUGCACG
rnacentral:rRNA from 1 species